GUCGAUCAAAGAUUACUCCUCCCCUUUUCUCCCUCUUUCUCGGCUUCUGCCUGCCGGAAGCCUUCUUCGUAUCGUCCGUCCCCUGUGAUUGACGUUGGCCCUCAAUCGUCCCGAAACCAUUCCAAUCCCUGGUCGAACCGGUAUGAGUCUCAGUUUGCGAGGCAUGUCGGCUGGCAUGGACCAAAGAGAAGGAGAGAAGAGUGGAGGAGGAGCUGCUGUUGAUAGAGGAGAGGGAGAUAAGAACCUGCUGUCAACAGCCUGAAGAACAUACGCCCGGCAAGAACCAAAGAGAACGAGGGAGAGAAGGAAAAGAGGAGGACAAGAAGAACUUGCUGUUGACAAAGAAAAGAGAGAGAGGAACUUGUUGUUGAUAGCUUGAACUUGCUGUUGAACUUUCUAUUGAUAGUCAUCUUGAACCCACUGUCAACCCUUUUCGGAAACUUGUUACGGACCAUGACCAUGAUGAGAAAAUGUGAUACACAUUAUCAAACAUUAUGAAGUAUGAAAUACUUGGCUAUGGAAAAAUGAACAAAACCUAGUAGGGUCUUUGCAGUCAUUUUAUUAAAGUAUUUCCUUCCACACAAUUGCUUGAGAUGUAAUUAUGUGUCAAUCAAUCAUGCUAAGUGGGUUAUAGUUCUUUUUCUUUACUA